AGUGAACGCUGGCGGUAGGCCUAACACAUGCAAGUCGAACGGCAGCACAGUAAGAGCUUGCUCUUACGGGUGGCGAGUGGCGGACGGGUGAGGAAGACAUCGGAAUCUACUUUUUCGUGGGGGAUAACGUAGGGAAACUUACGCUAAUACCGCAUACGACCUACGGGUGAAAGCAGGGGAUCUUCGGACCUUGCGCGAUUGAAUGAGCCGAUGUCGGAUUAGCUAGUUGGCGGGGUAAAGGCCCACCAAGGCGACGAUCCGUAGCUGGUCUGAGAGGAUGAUCAGCCACACUGGAACUGAGACACGGUCCAGACUCCUACGGGAGGCAGCAGUGGGGAAUAUUGGACAAUGGGCGCAAGCCUGAUCCAGCCAUACCGCGUGGGUGAAGAAGGCCUUCGGGUUGUAAAGCCCUUUUGUUGGGAAAGAAAAGCAGCAGGUUAAUACCCCGCUGUUCUGACGGUACCCAAAGAAUAAGCACCGGCUAACUUCGUG
rnacentral:rRNA from 1 species